GGUAUUCGAGCGACGGCCAAUGCAUAGUCAUCGCUACCACCCGACGCCUCGUAGAGAAGAUUUGCCGCUCCGCCUACCCUAUAGUUAGCGUUGUGCUUCAGUUUCAUUGCCACCGAUCCGGCACGUGCAACCGCAUCCAUGAGUUUCCAUCGGCGAGAGAGGUCCUUUUUGAAACCCCACGGGUACAGCAGAAAUCGUCCGUACGAGUGCAGUGAUAGAUAGAAGUCGAUCGAACUGUUUUUGGAUAACAGAAAAUUGCGAAGCGCCCGGGUUUCGGGUUCGGAGAAUGCCUCUGGACCCGCAAAGGUUGGAACACAUUCGUUUCGGGAGGCCCCCUUUUCACCCCAGUGAAACCCGAAGUUACGAUUGAUGUCCGUGCCAUGACAGCGUCUGUGCGGACGUCGUGUCUUGCGCCAAUAUUUGUCCACUUUGAGGGAGUAUUCGUAGCCGUCUGGGUUGACGAGUGGUAGGAUUAUCCACGUGAGAUUACUCAACAGAUCGCGGCUUUCGUUGGCAUGUCGGACUAGUCGAUCGAUCACAUAGAGUGCUGUCGCCGGCGCAAUCCAUUCUCUGGCGUGGAUUCCAGCAUCGAUAAGUAUUGUUUUCGAAGGGUUUUUACUUGAUAUGGUGACUGCAGUCAGAGGUCGUUUUUCGUACGAAUUGCCAAUGAGGCUCAGCUUCACCAUAUCUGGACGCUUUUGUCGAACAUAAUUCAAAUAUUUGUGCAUUUCCUCAUAACUCAGGUACCUACGGGUGAAAUCCAAUGAAUUCAUUGUGCCAUACGGACCAUGCCUUUCUGGACGUGGUUUUUUUCGAUAUUGUUCAGCGGAAACAGGUGCUUCCUGAACGCCUUGGUUUGUAAUUGUCUCAACUGUCGGUGGCAACAUAUCCGUCUGUUCAUCGAAUGUAGGUGUAACGUUGAACAGUCCCAUUCUGAAACAUAUUUAUCGCUUGUUAUGUGUAGUAAAUCAUAAAGCAGCUGACAAUGGCUAAAUAUAGAUGGAAUUGGCUUACCUGGUGCAAGCGAUGAAGAUCGUUCCGAUAUCGAUAGUGGCGAGUAGCAGCAAUGCUAUUCGAAACAUGUUCCCGGGGGUGCUUCGAUAGUACUGAACAGCAGCUCAUUGAUUGGGUAACAUGGUAUGUAGGAAUUUCCAAAUAGUCAAUUGUGUGAUUCGGAGCUCUGACGAGUUUGUAUGCCACCACGAUGUAACGAUAUUCAUUGGCUCGCUGCGAACGGUAGCGCAAGUACUCUCGAAAUGAAUAUUGGCGAUCGUGCGAUGGAAUGAUAAUAAGUUGUUUUCCUAAUCCAGUGGAUAACAAAGCGGAUUAAUCCACGAUCCACGCUAGAAUUUAAUAAUUAAUGCAAAAUUUUAUUCUGACAGAUUGAUUAUCAAUCGGUGAGAUGUUUCUCCCCGCGCUUUGAUAAUAAACGAGUGUCGUAGAUGUGAUUCAAUUGUCGCAAUGGGUUCGUUGGGAGGCAUUUAGUUGUUUUCGGAUUUAUUCCAAUUACAUUCAGAUGAAGACGUAGGGUAAGUUCGGGACAUUUGGACCCCCUAAGCAAAUCUAAUAUUUCCAAACCAAUACGGUCUAAAUUAUUAUUAUUAUUAUUAUUAUUUUAUUUGAUCCAUCUGACUUACAUUCUACAUGAAUAUGAAAUUAUAAUUAAAUGUAAAUAAAUAGUCGAAAACAUAAAACAUCAAGUUGUCAUGUUGAAACGUUUCAAACGGUACUUAAAUUCAUCCACGGAACAACAGAAAUCAAACAAAUGAAACACAUAAUUAAAUUCACGACACAUCGAUACAAUCGGUUCAUUUCAUCCGUACUCGGUUCGUCUGAAUUCUAGUCGCAGAAAUUCCCUUGAUCGUAGGACCACAGUCGGUGCGUUUAAAUUAAACUGUUCAAGAAUGUGGGAGGAGUCCGUAUGUCCCAGUAGUACUUUGGCGACAAAUAAAGCUUUUGCCGAGCUACGUCUUUGAUGCAGAGUUUCUAUCCCAAGCAGACGGCAACGGUCCUUAUACGGUGGUAGGCCAGCCGAGUUAGUCCAUGGUAGAAAUCUCAAUGCAAAUUUAAUGAAUUGAGAUUGAACAGCUUCAAUUCUUUUUAUCCACACGUGCGCAUAUGGACUCCAUACCACUGAAGCCGUCUCCAGGACAGAUCGAACAAGGGCGUAGUAAAGCGAUCGGAGACAGUAAGGAUCUCGAAAGUUGUUUGCAGCUCUCAUUAUGAAACCUAAGUUCCUGUUCGCCUUAUUAAUUAUGUUAGAGUAAUGAUCUCUGAAUGUGAGCUGUGAAUCGAGAUGAACUCCAAGGUCCUUUACAACGCUGGCUCUCUCGAUCUGGCAUCCACCAAUAUCGUAAACCCAGUGAAUUGGAGAUUUUUUUCGUGUGAAGGUGGUGACAUAGCAUUUCUGGACGCUGAUGGUCAGACGAUUAUAAAACCAGCUUUCAAAUUGAUUAAUUUUUUUUCCUGUUGGGUACAUUUUCCACUACGACCAGUUAUUUCAUCUAUUGUGGCGAAAUUGAUUAAUAAGUCGCUGCAGUUCCUUACAAUCCUCGGUGGAUCUAACUGUUAAGUAGAGCUUGAGAUCAUCCGCAUACAUAAUUCGACAACCUGGUGGGGUGAGCAAGCACACAUCAUUGAAAAAUAUCGAAAACAAUAACGGUCCCAGGUUGCUUCCUUGUGGAACUCCAGAACAAUUCGUAAAUGUAUAGGACUGCGAUGAUCCGAGCUUCACGGUGAGUGGCCUGUUGACUAAGUAGGAACUCAGCCAUCUACUGAAGUGUGAACAAGCACCUAAUCGCUUCAUCUUAGCAAUCAGCAAUUGAUGAUCCACACGGUCAAAGGCAGCCUUCAGGUCAGUGUAAACAGUGUCGAUUUGUACACCAUUCUCAAUUGCCCUGACGCAAUACGAUGAAAAAUCCACCAGAUUCGUGUUAAUCGACCUUCCAUUGAAGAAACCAUGUUGAUCAGGAGGCGAGAUGUAUGAUUUGACGGCAUUGAAAAGCACGCCACCAACAAGUAUCUCGAAUAGCUUAGACCCAGCGCAUAGAGAGGUUAUGCCACGAUACGUAGACACGUCACGUUUAUCACCUUUUUUAAGGAUAGGAAACAUCACUGAUGCUUUCCAAUUCUCCGGAAACUUCCCCUCUGAUAGUGACUUGUUGAUGAUGAUUGACAACGGAGCAGCAAUAGCCUCAGCACACUUUUUAAAAACGAUCGGUGGAAUUCCAUCAGGUCCAACGGCCGAGGAAGAUUUCAAUCUGCGAAUCGCGUCAAGAACGCUUUGCUCUGUAAAUGUGAAAUUUCUCAUCUCAAUUACGUUUCUGGGUACAUUCUCUAGUGCCAGGUCCAUGGCUUGAUCCGUGAUGAAAUUCGCUUUAAACACGCUGGAGAAAUGCUUAGCGAACAGAUCGCAAAUUCUCAUACGAGACUCAGCUGCUCUAUCAUCAAGAAACAUAGAUUUUGGAAGACCGCUCGUUUUGCGUUUUUCAUUCAUAAAAGCCCAAAAACUUUUAGGGUUUCGUUUGAGAUUAUUCUCUUUGCGUUUUACGUACCUUGAGUAGAGUAGCCGGUUUUGAGUGGGGUAUCUUCGACUGGCAGCAUUAAACUGUUGUUUUACUAUUGGAUUCCGGUGAAUAGUAUAUCUUCUCAGUGCAGCUGCUCUCUGGCGUUUCAGUUCGCGCAGCUGGUGAUUCGACCAUGGGGGUUCACUUCGGCGGCGCCUAGGGGGCACAAAGCGGCGAAAUAAUUGUACAAGCGUGUUGGUGAAUAUGGAGACAGCAACGUCAAUAUUGUUAUCACGAAGCUGAAUCCAAUCGCAGCUCGACUAAUUUCAUCGAAAUUUGCUUUGUGAAAGUCCAAUCUCACAUCAUCUAUCAUCGUAAUCAUCGUAACUCACAGGCUCUGGGAAAUGCAUUCUAGCGACAACAGCAGGAUGAAACACGUCAGCUUCAAUGAGAGGUUCGGGAGCCUCUGUCACAGUGCAUUUGGAGACAGCCUCUGCGUUUAUGUUCAUAGUAGACAUUCCAUCGACAAGAUACGCGCUAGAUGUUCAAAAUUUGGACUCUAAAGGAUCAGCCUACAGAAAUCCAGUAGUGGAACUCGACCGGACAAGGUGAGGUUGACUGUAAUCUCCAAGAAGAAUAUGAGAAUCACUCGGUUUCAAAGAUUCAGUGAUACUGGAAAUGGACUCAAGAUGUUUUUCGAGCUUGUCAGCAUUACCCGCAAGCUCUGGCGCCAAAUAUACCGCUCCAAUAAUAAUAAUACUGUCUGGUCCAUGCAUAUUCACCCAAAGAUGCUCCACUAAAUCACUAACUUGCGCCACUGUUUUUGAAGAGCUAAACUUCUUCGAUACCGCAAUGAGUACGCCGCCUCCUCUUUUUUAUGAAUCAUACUCCGUAUUCGAUGCAGCCAGAAACAGAAAUCGUCAUUAUGUUGCGCGUUUCGUGUAUUCUGGUCAGAUACUGUUGGAAAUCUGUGAACGACGGAUGAAUCAGGAAGCGUAUUGUUCGAAGUGGAUAUGUUCUUGCCUUGCCUUGAAAAGCAGGCUGGAAGACCUCUUCCGUAGCAGCAGACACAGGACCGGGACGACUGCGUAGACUGGAACUGAGUCGAUUCGAUUGCAGAGAUGAACUGUUUGAUUGAUCGGUCACGACUGUGCUGCGCAUAGAAGAGGCUUCCAUCGUGCUUAUUGACGUGCGUCCCGGUAACUGCUUAACACCUCCGGUGGUCUCAAUGUGCAGUGAAGCUUGUUGAUAGCAGACGUUUUGUGAAGAAUUGCUGAAACCAGAACUUUGAUGAAAGAGCAACGAUUCUUUAUCGGAAGAAUACUUGCCUGACAGAGCAGGCUGGGCUGCCCUAUCUCCACCAUCGAGCACAGAGCCGGGACGACUGCAGUAGGAACUGAUAUGAUGUGGCUCGACUGUGUCGAGAGGAAAAGGGCUACCCAUAUGACCUGUUUGUGUGCGUCCCGGGUUGCCCUCGGUGCCGAAUGUCGGUUGUUCGCUUUUUGUCACCUCUAUGAGAAUUUCGGACGAGUAGAAGCAGCAUCGUUUUUUUGGUUCAGAUCAAAUGCUCGAACAGUGACUCCUUCUGGCCAGUACCAGCGUUCGCCGACCACGUUGGAAACAGCCUUACUGACGGUAACUUUGAAUGACACAAAGGACAGGUCCGCUAGACUUUUCCCACGAGGAACUAGCUUCACAACUUUUACUAACGAUGAGUCCACAUUCGCAAUGUCAUGAAUAUGUUGUUUAACAUCGUCUUCUUUUUGAUCCGGGGUGAACGGGGUCACAUAAAAGGCUACCAUCUCUUCAGAGGCCUGUCCAAUUUUGGCAACGCUUAAAGUUCCCGUGCAACGCCGGAUAACGCCGGUGUGGUUACUGUUACUGUUACUGGGCGAGGCGUGAUGACCGGAGAUGACAGAUUGCGGCUGAUUCUUAUUACCAUCACGAUGAGCAAGGGAUGAAGACGAAGACUCGAUGACAGAUGGUUUGCUCGAGUUAUUGAUUAGCACAGCCGGUGUAGAUGCAGUCGUU